rnacentral:rRNA from 1 species
CCUACGGGGGGCAGCAGUGGGGAAUAUUGCACAAUGGAGGAAACUCUGAUGCAGCGACGCCGCGUGAAGGAUGAAGUAUUUCGGUAUGUAAACUUCUAUCACCAGGGAAGAAAAUGACGGUACCUGACUAAGAAGCCCCGGCUAACUACGUGCCAGCAGCCGCGGUAAUACGUAGGGGGCAAGCGUUAUCCGGAUUUACUGGGUGUAAAGGGAGCGUAGACGGACUGGCAAGUCUGAUGUGAAAGGCGGGGGCUCAACCCCUGGACUGCAUUGGAAACUGUCAUACUUGAGUGCCGGAGGGGUAAGCGGAAUUCCUAGUGUAGCGGUGAAAUGCGUAGAUAUUAGGAGGAACACCAGUGGCGAAGGCGGCUUACUGGACGGUAACUGACGUUGAGGCUCGAAAGCGUGGGGAGCAAACAGGAUU